rnacentral:rRNA from 1 species
UAGACCUCAAAUCAGUCAGGACUACCCGCUGAACUUAAGCAUAUCAAUAAGCGGAGGAAAAGAAACUAACAAGGAUUCCCCUAGUAACGGCGAGUGAAGUGGGAAAAGCUCAACUUUGAAAUCUGGCAGCUUCGCUGUCCGAGUUGUAGUCUCGAGAAGUGUUUUCCGCGCUGGACCAUGUAUGAGUCUGUUGGAAUACAGCGUCAUAGAGGGUGAGAACCCCGUUCAUGACAUGCCUUCCAGUGCUCUGUGAUACACUUUCGAUGAGUCGAGUUGUUUGGGAAUGCAGCUCAAAUUGGGUGGUAAAUUCCAUCUAAAGCUAAAUAUUGGGGAGAGACCGAUAGCAAACAAGUACCGUGAGGGAAAGAUGAAAAGCACUUUGGAAAGAGAGUUAAAAGUACGUGAAAUUGUUGAAAGGGAAACGCUUGAAGUCAGACGUGCGCAGCUUCGGCUAAUGCAGGCUAGCAUCGGUUUUGCGAGUCGGAUAAAGGUAAAGGGAAGGUGGCAGUCUCGGCUGUGUUAUAGCCCUUUACUGAAUACGGAUUGCGAGACCGAGGGAUGCAGCGCGCCGAAAGGCAAAGGGUUCGCCCUUUUCGCGCUCAGGAUGCUGGUGAAAUGGCUUUAAACGACCCGUCUUGAAACACG